CUGAGAGCACGCAGCAGAGAUCCUGACUAAUACGCCAAGGCCCAGGGCUGCAUGCCCAGGACUCAGGAAGAGUCUCGAAGAAUCCUCUGCACACAAGAACACUGCUAUCCGCCGAAGCUGAUGUCAGCUAUUCCCUGCAGACUGGCCUGGUCCAGCAGAGCCAGCUCUGCUAAACUACCACAGGCAGGAAGAAAAUGAGCCACCAGGGGCCUCCACACUUGUCUCUCAUAAAA
rnacentral:lncRNA from 1 species